GCCCUAGUAGCUUAGCUCAAAGCGCCGGUCUUGUAAUCCGGAGACGGAGGUUAAAAUCCACCCUAAGGCC
rnacentral:tRNA from 1 species